AUUGAACGCUGGCGGCAGGCCUAACACAUGCAAGUCGAACGAGUGGCGGACGGGUGAGUAAUGUCUGGGAAACUGCCUGAUGGAGGGGGAUAACUACUGGAAACGGUAGCUAAUACCGCAUACCAUCAGAUGUGCCCAGAUGGGAUUAGCUUGUUGGUGGGGUAACGGCUAACCAAGGCGACGAUCCCUAGCUGGUCUGAGAGGAUGACCAUCCACACGGGAAUGGAGACACGGUCCAGAUGCCUACGGGAGGCAGGAAUGGGGAAUAUUGCAAGAUGGGCGAAAGCCUGAUGCAGCCAUGCCGCGUGAAUGAAGAAGGCCUUCGGGUUGUAAAGUACUUUCGGCGGGGAGGCGUUACCCGCAGAGGAAGCACCGGCUAACUCCGUGCCAGCAGCCGCGGUAAUUC
rnacentral:rRNA from 1 species